CAGCCGCCGCAUUCCAGGCUGGGGCAGAGGAUGAGGUCAUCCUGUCCGGUUCCCCUCCAGCCCCCUCCCGCGGCAGCCCGGCGACCCUCCACGGCCCCCCCUCCGCGCGUCCCCAGGGGAUGUUUUAUGGCUAAGUCCUUCCUGGACAUCCCUAGCGGGGCGUUCCAGAUUGCUGUCCCUGCUCGGACAGUGCAAGAAUACGAAGUCUGAAACCCAUUUCUAGAUCGGGAAACUGAGGCUCCGGGAGGCACAGAGGCUGACAGGGAGACCACAAGGAUACGACACGUGGCUCUGGGACCGGAUCCCGUUCCGAAUGGAGGGCUGGCCGGGCCCUAAUUUGGGGUGGUGGAGCAAAAGACGCCUUCCUUCCCUGUUGCUCCCCAACGUGCUCCUCCUCCUAAGUCUCUCGGAAUCAAGAGCCUGGCCCAGCAGCCUGACCGCGGUAGCUGGAAGCUUGCUGGCCUUUUCUGGCCUCAGAUUCCGUUUUCCACCUUGAAGGGGCUGGACUUCGUGAGGAAGGGGAAGCCAGUCCCCGGCAGUCAGCCCUAAUGCCAGAGCAGGCUUGGGGAAGCCCCUGACCCAGUCGUCAAGGUGGUGCCCUGCCGGACGCCCUCAGGAGUGGCUCUGUGAACUGGAGCAAUGGCGUCCAGGAUGAGACUGACGCUGUCUCGAGAGGUCGGUGCGGUCCUCGGGUGACCCCAGCGUACAGCUGCCCCCAGCCUGGCCUUCCUCCACCUCCGGAGCAGCCCCUGGCCUGGGCACCUAAACUGUUCCCACAGCAACGCCUGUUGGUCCCUCCCAGUGCACCUCCCCGCCCUCAGCCCCACACCUCAUCCUUGUGGUCAGGUCCGGGUGGUUAUUGCCCCCCUGGGAGCUCUGACCUUACGUCUGGACCCUGACAUCCUUUACAGGGUGAACAGACAGACUCUCGGGACACCGAGGCAGCAUGGUGACCACUUUACCAGGUGGGACACAGCUGAUGGCCCACAAUCAAGUGCCAAAUGACUGUCAUCAAGGGUCCUCACAACGAUAGGCGUUGGCUUAGAGGCACUGGGUUUGAACUCUGGGUGCCCCGUUCCUGGAUCAAAGCACUGAGUUACCCACAUCUUCCACCCUCACUCUGUCCCCUGGGAAGGACCUGCCUGCGAUGCUGAUCCCAUUUGCCACCCAGGAGACGUGGCAAGGUCUCUACUGAGACUACUUAGUCCCUGGAGAUUGGGAAGCCUGGUCCCUGCCGCAUACCUGCUGCACGACCUUGGACAAGUCUCCUCCCUCUGAACCCCAGCCCUCCCUGUGCAGCGCGCCAGCCCCCCAGCCUUGAGGGCUUGUUGUAGGAUCCGAUGACGUCAUGCUAUGGUUGGCCAACUGCGGACGGCUUCAUAACUUCAGCAAACAUUCCACGAGGACGUCUCCGUGCGGUGCCAGGGAAAGGGGAUGAUUCAGAAGUCACCCCCAGGGGGAGGAGCUAUGGCUGGGGGAGGGUCAGAGGGUGGGAAGGGAAGAGAAUGUGGUCAGGAAACAAAGCAAGCUUUGUCCUAUGCGGUCUUUGUUUUUUAUCUUGUUAUUUAACCUAUUUUGAAUUUUAAAUAACAUUAGGACAGGACUGAGAUUUUUUUAUGCUUGGAGGUGGUAGCAGUGGUUUAGGGGGAAGAAUAGUUGAGACUUAAGCCUAGGUGUUCUUGUUAAAGAUCAUUAUCAGCUUUUAUCUGCUGAGCCUCAGGUCUGUGGAGGUUGGUGACUUGUCCAAGGUCACACUGAGAGGACACCAAGUCGCUAGCCUACCCUCUCCUCUAAGAAGGUGGCAGAGGGUGGCCCCUUUGGCAUGACAGUUAUCGCAACAAUCGGUGAUUAAACUGGUGUUGACUUGGCACCGGCCGUGUGCAGAGCUCAGGCUGGGUGCAGGAGGGAGGAGGGGCAGGAAAAUCCAGGCCCUGCCCCAUCUUCAAAGUGUGCUGCUGAAUGGAGACCAGACCGAGGCUCCACAAGCCAGCCUUGGGCUCAUGUGAGUCACAGGCCCUGGGUUCAGGUUUCAUCUAGCUCUGUAGAUGCGACCUUAAAUCAAGCAAGGCCCUCUCUGGGCUACUGGAAAAGCAGAGGCCAACCUUAGGGUCCUAGGUGCCCUCUAGGCUGGACUUUUUUUUUUUAUUUGGGGGUACCAGGAGUUAAAUUCAGGACAGUCACACUGACCUACAUCCCCAGCCCUUUUAUUUUUAAUUUUGAGACAAGGUCUCAUUAAGUCACCAAGUUGACCAAGCUGGGCUUCAGCUUUCUUCAGCUUCCCAGAGCACUGGGAUCGCAGGCAUGUGAGCCACACCUGGGUUGUCCCAGACUUCAUACAGUGUGAUGCUCUCGAGAAAGAGGUUGCAUACCAAAAGAUGCUUACAGCAGGCUGGGGCCAGAGAGGAUGUGCCACGGUGGGAGACCAGGAAGGAAGACGGUAGACAAGGAAUAGCUUGGCACUUGUGCUUUUUCCAAAACUUGCUCCCUGACAGUAAGGCUCCUAUAUCAGUUUGACAGAUGAAUGAACCCUCUCCUACGGGCCUUCUCAGAGCCUUGAAUCUGUCAGGUGUGCAGGAGGCAGCUGGAAAAAGCAACUUGUGACCCCAGAAUCCCUUUUCCAGGAAGCACCUUUAAGGUGCAGGCACCCAGGGCAGCUCCGUGCUGGCUGUUCACGCAGAGCUCACGAGGCCUUGUUGAGGCACCUCCUCCCUCCUGGCUGCCCCGGAUGGGAUGGAAGAGAUUGGAGCCCACAGAGAAGGGAGGUGCCCUGUUCCAUGUGCCAACAAGACACAGUGUUGCCUGGGGCUCAAGGGUCCUGAGGUCUGGGCCCUGCUUCACCUAGCCUUGGGCAAGUCACUAGACUUCUGGUGCCUCAGUUUCCCCUUUCUAGUGUAGUGCCUCCUCAGGGGCUUGGGUUAAAUCACUUAUGCAAGUGAAAUAUGGGUGCUUUCAAGUGCUUCAUCCGAGGCCCUAGGCUUCGUCACGCUGCACUUUACCAGUGCUUUUCCUAAGGUGCAGUUGGAGGGGUGCUCUGUGCCGCACAGGCUGUACCCGCUUACAGGUGAGCACAGCCCUGAUCUCUGGCCAUCUGUUCCAGAGCCUGCCUACCCUUGAGCUUUCUCUCCACAGGUUCACUCAGCCUGUCCUUCGGGCCCGGCUCCCACUCAGCAUUUGGUGGAGACCUCCGUCAGUGUCGCUGGGUCUAACUUUGUUCUCUUCGGCUGUCAUGGUUUGGACCCCACAUUUCCUCCUCCGCACCAGCCCGCAGUUACAUCACAUCGCUGUUCUCU